GGAGUUUCAGGAGCAGCAGGUGCCAACACUGCCAAAGGCUGUUGACGGUUUAAAGGAAAUGAAGAUGUGGAGAUUAGGAGGUCAAUGAUAACCUGAUUAUUAAACGUUAAUACUUAAUAUGCCUUAUACGAAAUAAUUCAUUCCUUCAAAUCAAAGUAUUUUCAGAUAAGAUUAUUCUUUUUAUUCUUUGAGGGAAAACAAGAAAAUUUCUCAUGUGAAGAUACUCUGAUCUCAAGGAUAAUUGCCUCAAACAUUCUCAAUUUGAUCCUAUUGGCCAGGAGUUUUGAACCACAUCUAGUCCCAUUCUUCCAAGAGGUAUAUUUAAAUGUAGGGAGCACAUGUGCUAACUAUAAUGACUGAGGAGAAGCUAUCAGCACAUGGAGAACAAGGCCACGGACACUAAACUUCCUAUAAUGAAAGAGGCAUUCCCACACAAUGUCCUGCCAAAAAUGCCAAGUGUCACCUGCUGAGAAACCCUAUCACAUGAUGCUAUUUGUCACUGAAUGCACCUUUUGCAUAGUUGAGAAGAACUGACAGAAGUUUGGACUCUGAAAUUUUGGAGAAUCAAUUCUAAAAUAAGGUAAAUAUAAUUAAUAUAGUUCAUGCUUUAGAAACUUUUCAAGCAAAUGUAUGCCUUUUAGCUUUACUGUUUAUUCAUAUCUAAUCUAGUUCCAAAAGAAAUAGGUCUUUAAGCAAAUUACUUAGUAGGGCAGCUGCUUCUUAUAAAUUAUAAUUCUUCCACAUGUUACCUCUAAUCAGAAUCUGAUUAGGGGUAUACGUGAUUAAUAAGAAUACAUUUCACUGCGUUAUUAGGUGAGGAAAAAGUGAAUGAUUGAAAUAAAAUGCUUUCUAAAACAAAUCAACGUUUUAACUGAACUUUAUUUAUCUAAACAAAUAUUUCUCAUUUUCACCACUCAUACUAAAUAUUUUCAACUGAAAAUUGCUGUUUUAAUGCCAAGUUUUACCAAAAAUUAAUCAAUAGUUUAGAUAACUGAAUCACUUAGAUAUUUUGCUGGGCUUAUCCUAACUGUACAUAACUUUUAACAAAAAUAUCUUUCCAGCAGCAACUUGUAGCUGCCACUCAAAUGCUUUGUAAGACAUUUAUGAAUUCAUUUGAGAUUUCAAUAAUUAUUAAGGAAAACAUUUGCAAGAGAGUGUCGGUAUUAGGACCAGAAAAUUGUUUUCAAAAAUACUUGCACCCUUAUUAACAUUGUUAUUUAUGAAUAUGUUGAAAACACCCUUGGUACCGCCUAGUUGGACUAGUUUAUCAUAGUCAAGUUCAAUUGGCUUAAUUCGUGGGUAAGCUUUCUCUGUAAGUUAAAAAAAAAAAAGUUCUAUUACUCACUGACACUUAGUAUGCAGUUGUUUCUCAACACAUUUCCUAAUCACUCUGAUCCAAAGUUUUGAGAAAGCCUGUGACAAACCAGGAUGACCUCUCAGACAAUGUGGGUCCAUUUAACAGUUUAUUACGCAAUCCAACAGUUAUGCCAUCUAAGGGAAACUGGUAUUUCAAAGUUUCACGAAAGAUUUGUUAAGAAUAAGUCAGUGAUCCUUGUAACAACUGAACAGCCUUAAGGCCAAAUAUUUAAUACCUAACACUAGCCAACACAUAUUGAGCUAUUUCCACACAUGUGCUGACCACAGUGCUAACUAAUUACUUCACAGAUAUUAUCUCAUUUAGUCUUUACCACCAACAUAUGGAAUUGAUUAUUAUCUUCUUUUCACACAGGAAAAAUCUCAAAUUUAGAGAGGUUUUUACACACGAAGAAACUAAGAUUUUGAGAGGUUUAUUAGCGAACAGUUUUUUGCCAACUCUAGCCAACAAGUGGCAGGGCGAAGAUCAAUACCCAGACUUCAGAGCCCUGCCUUUAGACUCUGCCCAGUCCCACCCCAGAGACCUGGGUCCAACAGGGGUUCCCAGAUGAAUCACGUGAUGUCUCUACUCUCAAGGACCGUAUGGCCUAGGAAAAGAGAUAGGAUGCCUACCCAAAUAAUUAUAAUUCAAGGUAAAACAUCGUAAUUGGCCUAAGAGAAGUCCAAAUCUUGUUACAAGGCAGUUCAGAUGAACACAGAUUACUUCAAGAUAAGGGAACCAGGAGCAAAUUUUUUCUUUGGGAUGGGUUAUGUGGAAGGAGGGGGAUGAAGGGCAGUAAAGGGACAUAAUUAGUAUUUGCUGCACACCAUUCUACUUGUCAGGUCUAGUAGAAGACUCGUUACAUUUGUUAUCUUCUUUGGUGUUCACAAUAACCAUAUAACCGUAUCAGUAUUACCCUCACAUUGCAUAAGACUAAGUCAACAACCAGUGGCUUAACUGAAAUGGAAGCCAGAACCCCUGAAGGAUGACCUGUCCAUUUUUUUUGGUCCACCUUGAGCAGGUUUCUUUUUGAUGUUUAUGUGGGUAUAUGCAACUUUUGCAAAUUUGUCAGCCCAAAGAGAGUACUUUUCUAAUUCACGGAAAGUAGUCUUACUGACUUGAUGACUAGAUGCAGGAGGAGACAGAGGAACGCUCCUAAGAGUCCUAUCCCCAGGGCAGAGUCCCUGAGAGAUUUCCUGCUAGAUUCAGAGUUGGAGGAGGGAAAGGAGCUCACUCUCUCCUCACUUUCCUUCUUCCUCCUUCUCGCCACUCCAGACCCCCUGCUUCCUUCCUUCGUUUUUUCUAUGAUCACUUCUGCAGAACUGCCAUGGCUCAGGCACUGCACUGAAGCCCCUGCCCUCAUUCAGCUUCAUGCCAGGCAGACGCUGUCCUGCUGAGUGGGUAAAGCCAGCAGACGGCCUGAGCGCUUGCCCCAGCUCAGCCACUUACCAGCUGUGCCAUUUGAGCAAAUUACUUAACUCUGUGCUUAAAGCCUUCUGCAGCAAAUAUAGAUAUUGACAGACCUACCUCACAGGGUUGUUAGGGGGAUAAAAGGAGUUACAAGGACGCGGUAGCACCGGGCCUGGAACGCGGUGAGCAUUACAGAGAUGUUGUUACACUUACUAUACUCUUGGACUUCUUGGAGUGAGUGGAUUAUAGUCUGUCCAAAUUGUGGAAGAAACGGGAGCUCAGCCUCUUCUCUCAAAAAAUGGAAAUCAAUUUAUUGGCAAAGAUACUCUUCAGGGAAGGGGCGUCCUCCUCUCACAGCAAGAAGAAAAUCCUCCACAGGCAAAAGGGUGGGGCUGAAUACACAGCUUUCCAAGGCAAUGUACCCUUCGCAAAUCUGCCUUUUAGCAGAUCUUACGAACAUUUCUUGCUGCUGCUAAAUCCCCUUCUAGGUCUUUGUGACAUGUGUCUCUUCCACUGAGGAGAAAACUGACUGAAGGCAAGGAGGAAAAGAAGAUUAACCUGGAUGACCAGAUGUGAAUUUUUUAGAGCAGAAUUUCAACCUCAUUCAUCUUGGUAACCACACUGCAGUGUCUGGAAUGAUCUCAGAGGUUCAAAAACAGCUAGUCUAUAUUCUAGUUGUUUUUCCAUACACUUUGUUCCUCAUAAUAGCACUUCAGCGUAGAUACCACCAAUCCCACUUGAUGGAUAAGAAAAAUCGAACAUGAGAUUGUGAAAUAAUUACUCAACCUUUUUACUUUAACUCAACAAAAGUGCAGAACUGUUCUUGAAAUCUAGGUUUAACUCUAAAGUUAAUUAGCUUUUUCCAUUUGAAUGUCUCAAAAAAUGUUUGGUGAAUGAAUAUAGAAGUAAAAGCAAACGAAAACUUCCUUUUAUUUCAGAUCUGCAAUCCAGGAAGAUGACUCUGGAUUGGGGAUAUUUCUUUAGGUCACUUUGCCCUCCUGAGGAGAAGGAGGGCUCAAGGCCAAAAAUUUAAGUCAGAUAUUAUAAAAGAGUAAAUGAAUGUCUAGAAAUAAACUGAGCAUUUAUAGGAAGAUGCACUAACUUGGGCAUGGGAAAUGGGUGUUAAAAUUUCAUUUACCAUUAUUAAAACACUCCCUGGGGGAAGAAGCAGUAGGUAAUUGCAAACUGGUGAUAUGAUUUUCGCAAAAAAACAGUUUCUGACUUUAUGAGUUGUUACACAACGCACUGCUUAAAGUAAUCAUCCUUCUCUUUCACUAAGAUCAUUCACUCUCUGGCUCACUGGGAUUGUUUGAAAUGCAAUGUGCUCAGAAGCAGAAAGCAGGGCUGGGAUUGCUUCAUCAGGACUAAAUCAGGGUCACCUUGUUCAACCCUUAUCCACUCUCUGCAGCCACCAGCCAGCUCUUCUUUUUCAGCCACACUCUCCCAAAUGCACAUUUAGUACUUGGGUUCCAACGACACAGCACAUCCAAGCUAAUGUGUCUGCUGACAGUUUGCAGCCCUGUUGAGCCCCCAGUUUGCGCUGAGCCAUAAAACACAGGGUGCCAAGAAGGGGCACCGAGCGCCCACUUUCCUCCUGCACAGUCUCUUUCACAUCACCCCCAUGACUGCCCGCGAUUUUAUUACUGUGCAGCGUCUCUUACUGGACCCGGGAAGGGAGGAGGACAUGAAAUAUUAGCUUUUCUACUACCUACCACCAGCCCUCCCUCACUCAACCCAGCCCACUCAGUACUACUUCUCCAGGAAGGGGAGGCAAAGUCACUUCCCGAGAAACCGCUCAUUUCCUCUCCUCUGGUAGGGUGUGUGUAUGUGUGAUUUUAAUAUCCCUGGAGUAGACCACAAAUUUCCCUUGCCAGCCCUACCAGGAAAGUGGCCUGGUCACCACCGCCCUUGCCAAGGCAGUCUGCAAUCCCUUUCGCGGAAGUCAGGGAGCAACGGGAGUGGAGGGAGCAGCGGCGGAGCAGCAUCCGCGGAGAGGAGGCCGAUCGCACCUGGGCCGCCUCGCCCACCUCCUGCGCUACCUGGCCGGCAGGGGCCCCAGCGCCGCGGCCGAGGGAACCCAGAUUGAACCCAGGAGGCGCAGGCUCUCCCCGAGGGGCCCCUGUCCACUCACGCUCCCUUUAUGCCCGGGCUCAGGCCGUGCCCGCACACAUCUUUCCAUCAGCCUGUGUCCCCGCCAGGCUACCUGGGGACCGAAAAGCAAGAAAGACGACCUCGCUGGAUGUUGGAGGAUAGCGAUGUCAUUUUAUUCAUCUCUGUAAUCUUUCAGCAUCUAGCACAAAUUCUUGUGGAUAAAAGGUGGAGUAGCUACAAAAUGGCGUCACUAAAAGAUACAGAAAGUCUGCUUGACGUGCACUGGCCUUUGUGUGAGAAAGAAACCAUUACUGUGUUAAGUCAUUGAAAUUCCGGGCUCUAUUUGUCAUGAGAACAUAGCCUAGCUUAUUCCUACCAAUACAAGAUGUUAUUUAAUAAGAUUAUAAAUCAUAAUGGCAUAAAGACCCAAUGAAACAUUGAGCUUAUGAGAAUGCUGUAAUGUGUUCCUAAGUCAAGGCUGAAAAUAUGUAUUCUCACAACCCCAAAUUGAUGUAUAACAGCCUUUUCAUGGCACGACUCUGAAAUUAAAGUAGGUGUGUGUGUAUGUAUAAACUAUACACAGUAGAUCAGUUUUAACUAAGGACAAGAGACCAAAUGUCCCAAUAUUCUCCUCAGCCUGAGUGAAAACAAAUGUGCACCUGCCAUCCAGUGGCAGCAUACUGUGACUGAGAUUGAAGCUGGCUGGCAGCUGUGAAUAUGAUCGCUGUGACCUGGUUUCAUAGAAUGUACAAAGUAUAAGAGACAUCUUUCCACUGCUUCUAGAUUUAUAUCUUGAGUACAUCCAUAUAGGCUCCUUUGGAACUAUCUGCUAUGGAAGCCUCCCAUAGAACUGUGGAGAAUGCAAAUCUACUCUCAUUUUACAAAGAAGAAAAAAGAAAAAACAACCAUGUUGGACAUUGCUGAAUGGUGUGCCUUUUAAUAACUGUGCAAUAGCCCGGAGAGGUCUUUUGUUAAAAUAAAUGACCUUUGGGGCUCCAAAAAUCUCUCCAUGGAUUCUGCAUUUAAAC
rnacentral:lncRNA from 1 species